rnacentral:rRNA from 1 species
UAGGGAAUAUUAGUAAUGGGCGAAAGCCUGAACUAGCAACGCCGCGUGUGCGAAGAAGGCCUUCGGGUUGUAAAGCACUUUUUGAGAGGAUGAGGAAGGACGGUACUCUCAGAAUAAGUCUCGGCCAACUACGUGCCAGCAGCCGCGGUAACACGUAGGAGGCGAACGUUAUCCGGAUUUACUGGGCGUAAAGCGCGUGUAGGUGGUUUAGUAAGUAGGGCGUGAAAGCUCCUGGCUCAACUGGGAGAGGCCGUUCUAAACUGCCGAACUAGAGGAUGGUAGAGGGGGGUGGAAUUCCGGGUGCAGCGGUGGAAUGCGCAGAUAUCCGGAGGAACACCAGUGGCGAAAGCGGCCUCCUGGACCAUUCCUGACACUCAGACGCGAAAGCUAGGGUAGCAAACGG